UACGGGGGGAGCAAGCGUUGUUCGGAUUUACUGGGCGUAAAGGGCGCGUAGGCGGCCAGCACAAGUCAGGGGUGAAAUCCCGGAGCUCAACUUCGGAAUUGCCUUUGAUACUGUCUGUCUUGAGUCCGGGAGAGGUGAGUGGAAUUCCUAGUGUAGAGGUGAAAUUCGUAGAUAUUAGGAAGAACACCAGUGGCGAAGGCGGCUCACUGGCCCGGUACUGACGCUCAUGUGCGAAAGCGUGGGGAGCAAACAGG
rnacentral:rRNA from 1 species